AAAUAAAUAAAGCCUUUUAAAAGCAAGCUGUUUAGAGUAAACCGUCCUCAUCUUGUGGUGUUGGCUCGUUGCUGGGAAGGUGUAGGGAGUGGUGGUCAUUCUGGGAACCCGGACGGGGGGAGAGACUCAGUGCAUGUGUGGUCGGGCGCCGGCUGCGGGCCCAUCUUGCAGCUGCUUCUCUUUUCCUUACAAAUUGAUCUUUUUGAUGCUUCUAAAAUCCAUCAUCAUGGAAUUUGGUGUAGGAGUUUUUAAAAGUGGGAAUCCAUCAGCAUAAAUUUAGACUAAAAAUUAAGUUAAAAGUGAUGUUUUAGUCCUCAGUUCUUACACAUUUCUCAGAACAAGGUUGAUUUGCAAGAAAAAUUUGUUCUAUUAUCAAUGAGGAAAGUUAGAUAUUAAGCUAAAAACACAUAAUACAUUGAUGUAUAACUUUUAUGAUGAAAAGGUAAUUUACUCUGGAGCAGCACAUCCCAUACAUGCUUUGUAAGAUCAGCUGUUAUGGAGCUGGACUUAAAAUUGUGCUGGAGUAUUGGCUUCCUUCCUUCCUUUCAACAUUCUGCUAUGUAUUUUUAAAAAGUCUUAUUUAUUUGAUACUUUCAUAUGCACAUCUGGGAAAUAAGUACUGGACCUACUAAAGAGUGGUUUCUAUUAGAGAGGCCAACAUCUGGAUGUGGCUGUAUUGUCGCAGCAGUAGAAAUAAUCAGCCUCCACUUGCUGAGUGCAUCACUUGGGCAGUCUGUGUGUGUGCUACUCUGCAUCUGCCACACCGUUUCCUCCUCCAUUUCCAGCUCCUUCAGGGAUGAGUUGAUACGCCCACUGCGCUCAUGAGCAAGUUGAGGGAGGCUAACUUGUGGGUACUAAAUGUCUUAAACCUAAUUCCUGCACCUUGUCUUUCCCCCCAGCCUUGUUAAGGAAAUGGUGAUCCAGAAAUGAGGCAGCUGCUAUUAACUCUUGGGAGGUGACUUGAUUUUCUGGCUCCAUUUCUUCCUUGAUAAAAGAGGAAUGAAAGUAGUAGUUGUGUUUUGUUGUGAAGGUGAAAGAAGUUACACCUCUGAAAGUUGAGAACAGUGGAUGGUAGUCACCCCGCUGUUAAGUAGUAGAUGUGAUUAACCUGUAUGUGGAUGACCAUCGGAAGAGUGAAACGCAGAGGUGUUUCAUUUAAAUCUAGGAAAGACCUGUGUACUUUUUAAAACUUUGUGCUUUUUGUUGGUGCUCCUUUGGAGGAAUACUGUUUCCCUUAGAUGAGCCAUAUGGGAGUGCUAGUGAGAGUUGAACUGCUCAAACUCCUGGCCGUCCCUGGGCCUGGAGCAGGUUCUUGGGCAUGUAGGCAUGUGGGGAGUGAAUCAGCAGCUAGAAGAUCUUGCCGUUUGUUAAUCUGCCUUUUGAAUUAAAAAAAAAAAAAAAAAAGCCAUGAGCCAAAGAAAGGCUAAAAGGUGGAGCGGAUGAUAUGUGUAAAGCCCAGGACAGGACAGACCAGUUGCAGAUGAAGCGGGGUCCCCAUUUUGAACCCCUUCCUGAAGCUGCUCGCUUUUUCUCCCCAGAGAUUACACUAGUAAUUCAACAGAGCGUAUGGUGCUUGCGCUUUCUGUUGGCUCUGUGCAGAGGACCUGGGGA